rnacentral:rRNA from 1 species
AAACUAGGAUUAGAUACCCUAUUAUUUUAGAAUGUUAAUUUUUGUGCCUGAGUAGUAUUAGUUAUGUUCUUGAAACUUAAAGAAUUUGGCGGUAUCUCAUUCCGUCCAGAGGAAUCUGUCCCGUUAUCGAUAGUCCGCGCUGGACCUUACUUAUUUGAUUUUGGUUUGUAUACCGCCGUUUAUUGAUUAUCUUUUUAGGGUUUAUUUAAUUUUCUGGUUUCUUUAUUUUGAUGUAUUUCAGGUCAAGGUGCAGCUUGUUUUUAAGUGGAAUGAUGGAUUACAUUGUUAUUUGUUUAUGGAUUGUUAGUUUUAAUAUUGGCAUGAAAUUGGAUUUGGUUGUAAUGGUUUGUAGAUUGUUAUUAUGAUAAUUGGUUCUGGGAUAUGCACACAUCGCCCGUCGCUCUU